AUUUCGAAUGCAAUACUAAUGUGGUAACGCCACUAAUCAUAGAUCCCAAAUCAGAAACUA
rnacentral:antisense_RNA from 1 species